GCGGAUGUGGCGAAACUGGUAGACGCACUAGACUUAGGAUCUAGCGCCGCGAGGCAUGGGGGUUCGAGUCCCUUCAUCCGCACCA
rnacentral:tRNA from 1 species